CCUACGGGUGGCAGCAGUGGGGGAUAUUGCACAAUGGGGGGAACCCUGAUGCAGCGACGCCGCGUGUGGGAAGACGGUCCUCUGGAUUGUAAACCACUGUCCCCAGGGACGAAGAUGACGGUACCUGGGGAGGAAGCUCCGGCUAACUACGUGCCAGCAGCCGCGGUAAUACGCAGGGAGCGCGCGUUGUCCGGAAUUACUGGGUGUAAAGGGAGCGUAGGGGGGGAUGCAAGUUGGGGGUCAAAACUACGGGCUAAACUGGUAGGCGCACUCAAAACCGCAGCUCGUGAGUGAAGUAGAGGCAGGCGGAAUUCCUAGUGUAGCGGUGAAAUGCGUAGAUAUUAGGAGGAACACCAGUGGCGAAGGCGGCCUGCUGGGCUUUUACUGACGCUGAGGCUCGAAAGUGUGGGGAGCAAACAGGAUUAGAUACCCGGGUAGUC
rnacentral:rRNA from 1 species